rnacentral:rRNA from 1 species
UAAGGUGAUAUGAAGCGCGGUGGUCCCACCUGACCCCAUGCCGAACUCAGAAGUGAAACGCCGUAGCGCCGAUGGUAGUGUGGGGUCUCCCCAUGCGAGAGUAGGGAACUGCCAGGC